rnacentral:lncRNA from 1 species
UCCGGAUUUCCACUGGAUUAGCCCCUUUGCUGAUCUUCUCAAAGCCCUCCUUGGCAAUAGACCGUGCCAGAACAGUGGCAGUGGUGGUGCCAUCCCCAGCCUCUUCAUUUGUGUUAUUGGCAACAUCCUGAACAAGCUUAGCUCCGAUAUUUUUGUAUUUAUCCUUUAAAUCAAUUGACUUUGCAACAGUGACCCCAUCUUUUGUUACUUUGGGACUUCCCCAACUCUGUUCAAUAAUCACUGUUCUUCCCUUUGGCCCCAUUGUAACAGCUACAGCAUCGGCUAAAAGGUCUACACCUUGAAGCAUUAAGGCUCGAGCAUCCGCACCAAAUUUUACAUCUUUGGCAUAGGCCCGAGUGAGAUGAGGAGCCAGUGCCCGAGACACUGGUCUCAUCUGGCGAAGGACUGUGGGUAGUCGAAGCAUUUCUGCGGGGCGGCGGCGGAAGAGCACGAGGCGAGGCAGGCCGU